rnacentral:ncRNA from 8 species
UGUAAACAUCCUACACUCUCAGCUG